rnacentral:rRNA from 1 species
GAUGAACGCUGGCGGCGCGCCUAACACAUGCAAGUCGAACGGCACCCCUCCUCGGAGGGAAGCGAGUGGCGACCGGCUGAGUAACACGUGGAGAACCUGCCCCCUCCCCCGGGAUAGCCGCCCGAAAGGACGGGUAAUACCGGAUACCCCGGGGUGCCGCAUGGCACCCCGGCUAAAGCCCCGACGGGAGGGGAUGGCUCCGCGGCCCAUCAGGUAGACGGCGGGGUGACGGCCCACCGUGCCGACAACGGGUAGCCGGGUUGAGAGACCGACCGGCCAGAUUGGGACUGAGACACGGCCCAGACUCCUACGGGAGGCAGCAGUGGGGAAUCUUGCGCAAUGGGGGGAACCCUGACGCAGCGACGCCGCGGGCGGGACGGAGGCCGUCGGGUCGUAAACCGCUUUCAGCAGGGAAGAGUCAAGACUGUACCUGCAGAAGAAGCCCCGGCUAACUACGUG